UGGUUUCCGGGCUCUAAAGCAUUAUCCUUUCCACCUACCGUCACCAAAUCAUAUAUAUGGACUACCCAUGGGAUGAAGAUGUUCCCUAUCGAUUUUGGGGUCAAAAGGUCAUGCGCACUGGACAUCGAAGUAGCAACACUCAGAAAAGAGGUAGUUUAUACCAAUUACCAACACCCUUUGGGAGAUUGGGGUAAGCGGGGGUUAUUCUUAAUGAGCAUUGCUCAUGGUACCUCUUGUUAAAAAUUGUGAAAUUCAUGGCCCCUGGAUCAGGGGUUCUGGUGCUAGGGUGGGGCUCUAUAAGUCAUAUAGUGAAAAUGCAUUAUUUCUUUGAAAAUCUUCUUCUCUGUCCUUGGGUAUUAAGUAGACAAACCAAUAGCAUGGUUAUGAUGAGCAAGGAUGCCUCUUUCAAAAUUGUGAAAUUCAUGGCCCCUGGGUCAGGGGUUCUGGUAUUAGGGUGGGGCCCUAUUGAUCAUAUAGUGAAAAUGCAUUUUAUUUCUUUGAAAAUCUUCUCCUCUGCUGCUGGGUAUUAAGUAGACAAACUAAUAGUAUGAUAAUGAUGAUCAAGGAUGCUUCUUUCAAAACUGAAAUUUAUGGCCCCUGGGUCAGGGGUUCUGGUGCAAAGGCGGGGCUGACCACAUAGCUAUUCAAUGUUUCUUCCAUCCAAAAGUAAAAUUCUUAUAUUUAAACACAAACCUAAUUCAAACAUUGGAAGGUUGUUACAUGAUACUCAGGUGACCUAUAAGGCCCCUGGGCCUCUUGUAUUUUUAACAAUUUCUUUAUUGAUUUAACUGAAUAAAAGAUUAAAAAUUUGAAAAUUAACGACAUAGUAAUUUGAUUGUGAUGUAAUGUUUCCAGGCAUAUAUUGUGUGAUAUAUGCCUGCAAACUUUUAAAGAAGAAA